ACGUCUGAGCCCAUGCGUGAGAAUCUAGAUUUCCUCCUCACCUGUCUCACUCCCUCACUCCUACCGCUCCCCACAUCAGCCCCGCCUCCACCCUCCUCCGCCGGCGCCGGCCUCGCCUCCGCCCGUCCCCGCCUCCCCAUCGCGCCUCCCUUCCUCUCCUCCACCGGCCCCGCCUCCCCAUCGCGCCCCCUGCUCUCCCCCAUCCUGGAUCCCAUCCCCGAGCCGCCGCCAGUCCCAUCGCCCCUCUCCUCUGCCGCCCCCGCCCCCGUUCUCCUCUGCCUUCGCGCCGCCUCCCCGGAUCCGCCACCGACGACCCCCGCCUCGUCGGAUCCGCCACGGGCCGCCGCCAGCAAGAUAGGGGAGGCCGGAUCCGCCGCCCCCGAGCCCGCGCGCCGCCGGAUCUGCCGCCGUCGACCUCCUCUCUGGUCGGAUCCGUCGCCCUCGUGCCCAAGCGUCGCCGGAUCCGGCCUCCCCUAUCUCAAGAACACUAGAGGAGACUAUUCCAGCACCAAAGAGAGUGCUUAGGUCUCAAUCUGCUGGACCAUCUCAAUUGCCUAAUUGUAUAAACAUGUAGGUUUAAUUUUCCUCUGCAGCUGUUACUUUAUUUUGUAGUUCAUGUACUAGCAGUUGCCAUUUUGGUAUCAGAUUUAGCUGUAGCACACUAGCACAAGUGACCUCUCUGGAAUUCUAUUGUUUUAACCAUUGGUGAUGUGUACAACUGGUACAAGGCAAAACACCUAGCUGCUGCACUUCUUUCUGAAAUUUUUAAUAAGUGCUCAUUUAUUCUCUAAAUAUCAACAUCUGGUGAAACUGAAACUGCUUAUACCUGUUACUUCAUACAUUCUUGGUACUUAGCUGCUUAUUUUCGUCCUUUAACUGUCUGUUACUUUUAUUUGCUAGAGCGCCUGACACAGGUGUUGAUGCAGAAAGAGAGUCACUUAGAGAAUUUCAACCAUUACAAUUCCACUAUAUUGGAAUAUCUAAGCUUCUGUUUGAUCAGUAAGCAUACAUAGCAGCUUUUUAAUUCCAUUUAUUCUGUAAUAAGAAUCUGUGAAUUUCCGUUUGAAAACAACACGUAAAGCUUAACUCUCCCGUCUUCUUUUUGUACAGUGCUUGUGAUGACAUCUCAGAUGCAUACUUGGCAAGUCAUAAACAAUUUUGACAGGAACCUGAACUGUCUAGUUAGCUUUGAUCUUCUUAAAAAUUCAUACUUGUAGCUUUGACACAGGUGAGAUUUUUUAUCGAGGACAUCAGAGAUGUCAGGUUCCAUAAGGUUGAGACUUGAUUGGAGAAAAUCUCUGGCCGUAUAUCUAAGAAGAUCAAAGCCAACCAGACCUUACAAACAUGACUGACUCAUGCUGUGAAGCUAAAAAAUCUCUCUGCGAUGGAGUUGAAUAUUGUCCGUCCUUCAUGAGGCUAAGACGCAGAUAACAAGCAAGACAUGCAUGUAUCAGUCACUUGUAUUUGCAGAUGAUUUACUACAUAUCCGUGGGUUGCAGUAAAUUAGAGGAGAUGCCUUGAUGAUGACUCCAUGUUGAAGGCCAAACUGAUAUAGUACAUCUGAAGAUAGCCUUUCUCAAUUCAUGUAGAACUAUUGUGAACAAUAUGUAUUGAGAUGCUUGAAUUGGUUGUCGGAAACUUGUUUGGAAUAUUGUGGACAAUCUUAAUAUAUAUGAAUGUAUAAAUAUUAUAUAUGUACUGUAUAAAUAUAUAUGGAUUACCUGUAUUGCUGUCA